GGUCUGUCUCGCUCGGUCACCGCCUCCGGGAGUGACGCGCACCCUCCUCUCCUGGGCGGGCCCCGCCGCCGCAACCAAUGGAGGCUCGGAGCCAGGCUGGGGCGGAGCCGGAGGGCGUAGGGGGCGGGGACUCGGAUCCCGCAGCCAAUAGCGGGGCAGGGGCGAGCAGGGGGCGGGGCCGGGUGUUUACACUCCCGCGUGUGCUGGUCGGCAGCGGGUGAGGCGCAGCCGCGGGCGUGGGGUCCGCCCCCUCCCUGCCAGAGGGACCUCCAGGGAUUCGCCGGUUCCAAGGCGACGCCCUUGUCUCGAGAGCGACGCCGCUGGUUGCCUCCGGGGAGCAGAACACAAGAUUACAGAAGAGGACACACCCACAGGGCCCGAACUGCAACAGAGGAGACGUGUGAAGACAGAGACCCAUCUCCUUAAAAACCCCCGGCCUCCCCGCCUGUGCGUUCAGCCCUCUGCCUCUCUGCUGAGCUGCCUGCCUGGCCUGGUCAGGUGUGAUCUCUCCUCUCAACAUGUAACCUCACCGCCCCCCCCACCCCGCCAGUCAGAGCGACUGGGCACACUCAGGUUCUUCAGGUUCUGUCUGGAGAGGUGCCCAUCCGUCCUUACGGAUGUCCCUUCCCUAAUAAACCUUGCUAUUUUACCUCCCACUACUCUGUCUCACGCCUGAAUUCUUUCUUGCGCGAAGACAAGA